rnacentral:rRNA from 1 species
AUGGAGGCGAGGCCUCGGCCUUCCGGCGUGCGGAGGGUGACCGCCAAGAAGCGGCCGAGGCCGGAUGCGUCCUCCAACAGCGCGCGGAAGCUGCAGCGCCGGGAGAUUGCCGCAUUCCCCGAGCGCACCUUCGCCGCCAGCACCACGCGGGAGCGGUUCCGCAACAUCCAGCUCCAGGAAGAAUUUGAUACAUAUGAUCCUAAGGAGAACAGUUCGCUACUACCUUACUUGAGGAAGCGGUCUGAAAUUAUUGAGAUAGUUGGAGCCCGUGAUAUUAUCUUUGCUUUAUCACAGCUGGGAGUAUGUGCUGCAUUCAGUAGAGUGAAAAACCAGCGGAUUUGCUUUCUGAAUGGAAGUCCAGAUGAAGUCAUCCGUAGUUUGUUUUAUAACAAGAACAAUGACUCGCUUAUAACCGUAUCAGUUUAUGGUUCUGAAAAUUUCAGUGCUUUAAGAUGCAGGACAACUCGAAUCGAGUAUAUACGCCGUGGAAAGCCAGAUGCUGGUUUCCCUCUUUUUGAGACAGAAUCGUUGAGGUGGCCAGGUUUUGUGGAGUUUGAUGAUGUAAACGGAAAGGUGCUGACGUACUCUGCUCAAGACAGUACUUACAAGGUGUUUGACUUGAAGAACUACACACUUCUGUACACGAUAUCUGAUAAAGAUGUUCAAGAGAUAAAAAUCAGCCCUGGUAUAAUGCUAUUGAUAUACUCAAGAAAAAAGGGCUACAUUCCUCUUGAGAUUCUUUCUAUUGAAGAUGGUAAGCGCUUGAAGUCAUUCAGGCAUCUUCUUCACCGCAACAAGAAGAUUGAUUUCAUUGAGCAAUUCAAUGAAAAACUUCUAGUCAAGCAGGACGGGGAGAACCUUCAAAUUCUUGAUGUAACAAACUCUAAGAUAACAGAAGUGAGCAGCAAUGAGUUUGUGACUCCAUCAGCUUUUAUUUUUCUGUACGAGAUGCAGCUGUUCCUGACCUUCCGUAAUCGGUCGGUAUCAGUUUGGAAUUUCCGUGGUGAACUGGUGACAUCCUUUGAGGAUCAUUUGUUGUGGCAUCCUGAUUGCAAUACAAACAGUAUUUACAUAACUAGCAACCAAGACCUCAUUAUCUCUUACUGCAAAGCUGAACCGGAUGAUCCAUCUUCAGAGGACAAUGAUAAAGGCAGGGAACCUGUGCAAACAGAAGUCGUCGAAGUUCCUGUGUACGCCUCUGGAGGCCCUCGGCGACAUCACAUCUCUGUACUACGACGAAGAGCGCGAGGAGAUCAUCACCGGCAACCAUCAAGGCCUCAUCCAUGUGUGGUCAAAUUAACAGCUUGGUCCAGUGCAGGCAGGUUACAUCAGGCACCAGGGGAUCCUCGUUAG